rnacentral:rRNA from 1 species
UACGAAGGGAGCUAGCGUUGUUCGGAAUCACUGGGCGUAAAGCGCACGUAGGCGGAUGUGUCAGUCAGGGGUGAAAUCCCGGAGCUCAACUUCGGAACUGCCUUUGAUACUGAGAGUCUUGAGUUCGGGAGAGGUGAGUGGAACUGCGAGUGUAGAGGUGAAAUUCGUAGAUAUUCGCAAGAACACCAGUGGCGAAGGCGGCUCACUGGCCCGAUACUGACGCUGAUGCACGAAAGCGUGGGGAGCAAACAGG